CAGAGGGGGCAAGCGUUGUUCGGAAUUACUGGGCGUAAAGGGCGCGUAGGCGGCCUGCUAAGUCGAACGUGAAAUCCCUGGGCUCAACCCAGGAACUGCGUCCGAUACUGGUUGGCUUGAAUCCGGGAGAGGGAUGUGGAAUUCCAGGUGUAGCGGUGAAAUGCGUAGAUAUCUGGAGGAACACCGGUGGCGAAGGCGACAUCCUGGACCGGUAUUGACGCUGAGGCGCGAAAGCCAGGGGAGCAAACGGGAUUAGAUACCCCGGUAGUCCUGGCCCUAAACGAUGAAUGCUUGGUGUGGUGGGUAUCGAUCCCUACCGUGCCGAAGCUAACGCAUUAAGCAUUCCGCCUGGAGAGUACGGUCGCAAGGCUG
rnacentral:rRNA from 1 species